rnacentral:lncRNA from 1 species
AGCAGAUAAUGAGUGUACGUGAAGUAUCCAUUAGGUUGAUUCAUUUCCCUUUAUGAUAUAUACAUGCAUGUUUUGCAGCAAAAAGUAUCCAAAAUUUGAGUAGAGAAUUCAAAUUCCCAAAUGUAAGAGAAAUACUUCAAGAAAAAAGAAGAAGAACUGUAUAAGUAGUUAAUCUCUCCUAGCCUGAUGGAGUCAAAGUAAAAGAAGUAAGAAGAACCAAUUCCCGUUGACAUCUAAGCAGCUACGUGCUUAUGUCCCAACUAAUACAACGCACGUACACCCUAUCCUCAAUCCCUCCUGAUUUAUUCCCAUUAUAUUCUCAUACAGAAUCAAUUAUCUCUGUUAUCCUCGAGAAUGAUAUACUGUAUUGAUGGGGACAUGUAUAUAAUUCGAUCUGCUUAAGUGCUAGCUCAACCCAACUUACAUUCCCAGCUGCCUAUAAAUGUUCCAGUGAGCUGCACAAUUUCUAGUCAAGUAGUUUUGUUGAUUCAGACAGUAGGUCUAGCAACGAGCCGACAGACUGAAAGAUGAGAGAAUUUGAUGAUGAAUGUAGUUUGUGUAGUCUUCCAUGGAGAGAAAAAGAGUAGAGACAUGAGCCAGGAAUGACUUGCCGGCCGCGGGCACAUGAGCCGUUGCCGGUAUAGUCUUUCCUGAGCUCUUGUUUGCUCUCUUUCUCGUCAUGCAAGACGCUGGAAACUAACAUCAUCCGGUGCAUGCCGUGACUACAAGCACAACAACAACCAAAAUGCAUGUGUGUGGUGUACACAUAGAGAUAAUGUAGAAUGGGGCCUGGGAAUUGAUCAAAAGACAACAGCAUCGACGGCCCCCGAAACUAUCAUCCUCCGAUUUUUUUUAAAUUCACUUCUAUAUGGUAUUAUAUUACAUAUAGAAUUAAGUUCAGUUUACCCUUUUAUGGUUUGGGGGUGACUUCAUGUUAGUCCCUACACUUUUAUUUUCAUCAGUUUACCCCUUGAACUCUUCAAUUUAUGUCUGCCGUGCCCAAAUUCUCAUAUUCCGUUUGAAUUGACCUUUAAUUAUCAGCAGUUAAGGUCCGAUUUGGACAUAUAAGGUUCGAUUUACCCAAAUUCUAGAUACUGGCCUCACAGUUAAGGUUAAAAUUAUCAGCAGUUAACGUCCGAUUUGAACAGAAUAUAGGACAUUUGGUCACGCUUGAGGAAAAUUCAAAAGUUUGAGAGGUAAACUGAUGAAAUUGAAAGUAUAUGGAUUAACAUGAAGUUACUCCCAAACUUCAUGGGUAAACUGAAUUUAAUUCUUACAUAUAUAUAGCUACAUAUAUUGUUCUUUUUUAUGCAAGUUUUCGUCUUAGUUCUUCAAAUUGCUUCGGAUGCAGUCACUUUCAACAUGUAUACUACUUUUCUUAUCGAAAGAAAUUAAAAACCCUACACAUCUUUUCUUUUCUAAUAAUCAAAUAAUCAUUCACUUUGAAAUUUCAAACAUAGUGAUAAUUAUAAUUUUUAACUUGAACAAAGAAGCCAAUUAAUCAUCCACUGAGUUGGUUUAGAUAAUUUGUGUACGCCCUUAAUUGCAAUGAGGAGUUGUUUGUUGUCAUGUAAGAGGAUUCAAUCAACAGUCUUUAG